rnacentral:rRNA from 1 species
UACGUAGGCAGCAAGCGUUGUUCGGAGUUACUGGGCGUAAAGAGUGUGUAGGUGGCCUUCUAAGUUGAACGUGAAAUCCCUGGGCUCAACCCAGGAACUGCGUCCAAGACUGGGAGGCUUGAAUCCGGGAGAGGGAUGCGGAAUUCCAGGUGUAGCGGUGAAAUGCGUAGAUAUCUGGAGGAACACCGGUGGCGAAGGCGGCUCUCUGGACCGGAUCUGACGCUGAGGCGCGAAAGCGUGGGGAGCAAACAGG